UCUGUGUUUUUCACUGCAAACUUUGGACAUCGAUCUGUUUUGUUGGUGGUUUGAUAUGUUUUGUGUUGUGUUUUUCAGUCAAUUGACUCAAUUCAUAUGAUUAAUUCCCAUGGUUUUCAUGCCAUAUUGGUUGAAUUUAUUAUAAUUUUAUUUGAUUUUGUUGCAGCGAUAUCCUCAUAUAAACAAGUGGAAGGUUUACAGGACAUUAACCAAUCAAUUGAGAUAUUAGGUCGUUUACUUUCUGCUGUCCCUGGUUGGAGUGAGAAAAUGUUUAGGUACUUUAUAGUUUUGAAUUUUUAGUUAGGAAGAUUUAACAAUACCUUUUUUUGUUUGCUUUACUUUGUUAUGUCUUGAUAAAUGCAGGUUCAGCAACAGGUUGCUGAAAUUAUCACUUAUAUAGCCUCCACUUGAAAAUAGUAGUACUUUUGGUUUAGAGCCUUGAAUUAUGCAUCCUAAACUGAUACUACAUAUUGAUUCGUUUGCAUUAUACUGGAUAUUUUGUUUUUUAAUAUCAGGUUUGGGUGCCCCUCUGAAUGUAGCUAAAUGAAAAAUUAUCCUCAGUUGCUGUUUAUUGGCCUCGCUGCUACUGAAGGUGUAAGAAUUUUUGGGGCGCGACUGAGUAUUGGGGUGGAUCGGUGGACUUGAAGCCCAAGAGGUUUGACGAAGCUAAGGAGAAGACCGAGACAUCAACCAGUGCAGAAGUUCCUGAUAAGACUAAUUGCAAAUAGCACUACAAAUGAGCACCACAAAUUUAAGCUUGAUGUUGGUAUGUGAUUUCCACUCCAUCUCAUUUUUUUUUAAUGUCAGUUUAAUUUUCAAACCUUUUGUACGUUUCAAGUAAUUCUUCACAUAAUUGAAUAAUGGCCGUUUUUUUUGUUUCUGUUUUCUCCCUCCAUCAAUUCAUUGGUUAAAUAGAUGCUUUGUAUAUAUAUGAAAACUUGGUUUUGAUAGGCAUCAAAAGUUUGGCCAUAAUAAUUUGUCAUUACAGUAAGAUUAAUGAUUUAAUGGGGUUGUGUUUAAUUUUUCUGGAGUUUAAAUUAAAGGGUUGAGCUUGAUGGCUUUACUCUUUUCUUUUGUCUUUCCU